UGGUGGAUUGCUCUGUCUGGUUAAUUCCGUUAACGAACGAGACCUCGACCUGCUAAAUAGCUCCGUUCAAGCCUUCGGGCUGGACUGGUCAGGCUUCUUAGAGGGACUAUCGGUGUAUAGCCGAUGGAGGUUCGAGGCAAUAACA
rnacentral:rRNA from 1 species